rnacentral:tRNA from 1 species
GGGGACGUAGCUCAGCUGGGAGAGCACCUGCUUUGCAAGCAGGGGGUCGGCGGUUCGAGUCCGCUCGUCUCCA